rnacentral:rRNA from 1 species
CCUACGGGAGGCAGCAGUGGGGGAUAUUGCACAAUGGGGGAAACCCUGAUGCAGCGACGCCGCGUGUGGGAAGACGGUCCUCUGGAUUGUAAACCACUGUCCCCAGGGACGAAGAUGACGGUACCUGGGGAGGAAGCUCCGGCUAACUACGUGCCAACAGCCGCGGUAAUACGUAGGGAGCGAGCGUUGUCCGGAAUUACUGGGUGUAAAGGGAGCGUAGGCGGGACUGCAAGUUGGGUGUCAAAUCUACCGGCUCAACCGGUAGCCGCACUCAAAACUGCAGUUCUUGAGUGAAGUAGAGGCAGGCGGAAUUCCUAGUGUAGCGGUGAAAGGCGUAGAUAUUAGGAGGAACACCAGUGGCGAAGGCGGCCUGCUGGGCUUUUACUGACGCUGAGGCUCGAAAGUGUGGGGAGCAAACAGGAUUAGAUACCCCAGUAGUC